rnacentral:rRNA from 1 species
UACGAAGGGGGCUAGCGUUGCUCGGAAUCACUGGGCGUAAAGCGCACGUAGGCGGGUCGUUAAGUCAGGGGUGAAAUCCUGGAGCUCAACUCCAGAACUGCCUUUGAUACUGAGGAUCUCGAGUCCGGGAGAGGUGAGUGGAACUGCGAGUGUAGAGGUGAAAUUCGUAGAUAUUCGCAAGAACACCAGUGGCGAAGGCGGCUCACUGGCCCGGUACUGACGCUGAGGUGCGAAAGCGUGGGGAGCAAACAGG